AUCACAUUGAAAAAUCUGUGUAGCGGCGAGCAAGGCCGCGUUUCGAGAAGAUAUAAAAAUUGAGAACUCGACGACUCUGGGAGAGUGGUUCGCGCGAGUCGACUCGGCCCAUACCGGAAACAUCACGGCGCCUCAGCUCAAGGUACUUCUCCGGCAAUCCCUCCGCUCUAAUCUUCCCGAAAUCCCCAAUUUUUGUCUUCCCUCGAACUUACGACGACGUUUCGAUGGUUACAGAGCGCUCUUGCUGUUAGUAAUAAAGUGAGCUGCUUUAAGCCGUGGUUAGCGGUUCAUGUUUUCUUUAUAAUUCGUGCACUUUAAUGUGUAUCACAGACAUUAGGCUACAACUAAUCGUGGCUAUCUUGUUCCUGAUGAUGUGCAUGAGCUAAGCAAGGCAGAGUGACUCUGGAUCUCAACCAGUUUGUCUACUGCAGUGAAGUCUUGGUGAUCCAUCAACUAUAUGAUGUUUUUCGAAUUGGAAGAUGUAGAGAAAGACAAUACUCCAAACUCCAGAGUAUUGCUUCUCAGUUAGUGCAAACUCCACACUAGCCCAAGACUUACAACCAACAGUAAAGAGAAAGAAUGGAACUCAACGAAGAUGAAUCAACUUUCACUAACAAGGAAAUAAGCUUACAAGUUACAACACUCUCCCCAAGAGCAUGAACAAUACCAUCAAAAGGAAAGAUGAAAAACUAACUCAAAAGGAUAAGCAGCAGCUAGUUAUCAAUGCAAUUGAAGACUAUUGUCUGGAAGGAACACCAAAACAUAAAGGAGUGCCACUGCACCAUGAAAACAUGCGGGUUCCCAAGACAGCCACAAUUAAGGAAUUAAUAUAAGUUGUUGGGUAUGUGGUAAGUCAUUCUAGAAAAACCACUUUAAUUUUAACAGAAGAAGCGCCCAUGGUGAGAAUGAUCAAGAACUGGAAGGAGAUCUUGAUGACGACGAUGAUGAGGAAGAAGCCCAGAACAUGCAAGCAAGUGAUCACGAGGAUGAAAGCGAAGGUAGCGCCCAGAACAUGCAAGAAGCAAGUGAGCAUGAUGAUGGAGGAGAGGCCGACGAGAGCUAUGAUCAGUAUGGUGACGAGGAACACCAAAACAUGCACGAAGCAAUUGAUCAUGAGGAAUGGGAUGAUGAUAAUGACUAUUUAAGUACAAAUGAUUUUAGAGUUUACAAGAUGGAUGUUCAGACUGGUAACUUUCUCAAGUUACAAAGACCGGACCAGAUAUUAUGUUUGACCGAUUAUGGUUCAAUGUCUCUUCAAGCGAGUGAUUUCAAAGAGUUGGAAAAGAAUAGUAUUUACUUCGCAACAAAUGGAACCUCCGAACCCGUAUUACACUGUCUUAUUAAUCCUAAGUGAUGUAUAACGCAUCAGAAAGAAUAGUAUUUACUUCGCAACAAGCGAGUGAUUCCAAUUGUCCUUUGCCCAGUUCGACAACCCAUCAGAAUAUCUACAUAGGAUUGUACUCUAAAAUCUUUUGAAUCCAGUAUGCUUUCAGGAUUGUGCAAUGUGCUUUGGUUUGAGAUUUUUCUUAAGUCAAUGCAUGAAUAUCCCACCUAUGUACUCUGACUUCACAUUGUAAGAAAUUCAAUUCGUUAACAUCA